rnacentral:lncRNA from 1 species
GGGAACAAGAAAAACGUAACACGUAACACCAGAGGACAUUUCUCCAAAAAGUACGAUCUUUUUCCCCAUGUGCAGUUACAAACCAUAGUCUGGAUUUUUUAUGGCGGUUUUGGAGCAGUGGCUUCUUCCUUGCUGAGCGGCCUUUCAGGUUAUGUCGAUAUAGGACUCAUUUUAGUGUGGAUAUAGAUACUUUUGUACCGGUUUUCUCCAGCAUCUUCACAAGAUGAACGUGGUACCUUCAGUCGUUUGGAAAUUGCUCUCAAGGAUGAACCAGAUUUGUGGAGGUCUAGAAUGUCUUUGAGGUCUUGGCUGAUUUCUUUUGAUGUCAAGCAAAGAGGCACUGAGAUUGAAGUUAUAACCCUGAGAAGAAAACAUGAGAGGAAGUGGAGGACAUGAUGUCAUCCCUGACAACACUGCAUAUGGGAUCUUCCACUGCUGACACACAAGGACAGAAAGUCAGUCUCACAUUCAGAUGAAUGACAAUGACACAAGACAGUUACAUUGUCCUCCCCUCUCGUGUCUGCGUGGGACUGCUCUAGCCAGCGGAGCUCUGGGGACCUCACUCUGGCUCCAGUCUGCCUGUGAUGCCAUGCAGCUGGGAGUCGACACGGACGCCUCGCCACUCCAAUGGACAGAUGACAUGCCAGGGCCUGGCUGGCUUGCCCCAUACUUCCCUCCACAGUAUGUAAAUGACUAGACAGAGAAGGCUUUCAUCUGAAUAUGAAUGGAGGAAGAAGAGACUGAGGGAGAGAGAUCAAGAGAGAGAGAGAAAAGCCCGCCCCCCUCCCUUAUAGACUUCAUUCUAAAAACAAAACUCAGACAGGAC